GACGAACGCUGGCGGCGUGCCUAAUACAUGCAAGUAGAACGCUGAAGAGAGGAGCUUGCUCUUCUUGGAUGAGUUGCGAACGGGUGAGUAACGCGUAGGUAACCUGCCUUGUAGCGGGGGAUAACUAUUGGAAACGAUAGCUAAUACCGCAUAACAAUGGAUGACACAUGUCAUUUAUUUGAAAGGGGCAAUUGCUCCACUACAAGAUGGACCUGCGUUGUAUUAGCUAGUAGGUGAGGUAACGGCUCACCUAGGCGACGAUACAUAGCCGACCUGAGAGGGUGAUCGGCCACACUGGGACUGAGACACGGCCCAGACUCCUACGGGAGGCAGCAGUAGGGAAUCUUCGGCAAUGGGGGCAACCCUGACCGAGCAACGCCGCGUGAGUGAAGAAGGUUUUCGGAUCGUAAAGCUCUGUUGUAAGUCAAGAACGAGUGUGAGAGUGGAAAGUUCACACUGUGACGGUAGCUUACCAGAAAGGGACGGCUAACUACGUGCCAGCAGCCGCGGUAAUACGUAGGUCCCGAGCGUUGUCCGGAUUUAUUGGGCGUAAAGCGAGCGCAGGCGGUUUGAUAAGUCUGAAGUUAAAGGCUGUGGCUCAACCAUAGUUCGCUUUGGAAACUGUCAAACUUGAGUGCAGAAGGGGAGAGUGGAAUUCCAUGUGUAGCGGUGAAAUGCGUAGAUAUAUGGAGGAACACCGGUGGCGAAAGCGGCUCUCUGGUCUGUAACUGACGCUGAGGCUCGAAAGCGUGGGGAGCGAACAGGAUUAGAUACCCUGGUAGUCCACGCCGUAAACGAUGAGUGCUAGGUGUUGGAUCCUUUCCGGGAUUCAGUGCCGCAGCUAACGCAUUAAGCACUCCGCCUGGGGAGUACGACCGCAAGGUUGAAACUCAAAGGAAUUGACGGGGGCCCGCACAAGCGGUGGAGCAUGUGGUUUAAUUCGAAGCAACGCGAAGAACCUUACCAGGUCUUGACAUCCCGAUGCUAUUUCUAGAGAUAGAAAGUUACUUCGGUACAUCGGUGACAGGUGGUGCAUGGUCGUCGUCAGCUCGUGUCGUGAGAUGUUGGGUUAAGUCCCGCAACGAGCGCAACCCCUAUUGUUAGUUGCCAUCAUUCAGUUGGGCACUCUAGCGAGACUGCCGGUAAUAAACCGGAGGAAGGUGGGGAUGACGUCAAAUCAUCAUGCCCCUUAUGACCUGGGCUACACACGUGCUACAAUGGUUGGUACAACGAGUUGCGAGUCGGUGACGGCAAGCUAAUCUCUUAAAGCCAAUCUCAGUUCGGAUUGUAGGCUGCAACUCGCCUACAUGAAGUCGGAAUCGCUAGUAAUCGCGGAUCAGCACGCCGCGGUGAAUACGUUCCCGGGCCU
rnacentral:rRNA from 1 species